UACGGAGGGGGCAAGCGUUGUUCGGAAUUACUGGGCGUAAAGGGCGCGUAGGCGGCCUGUUAAGUCGGACGUGAAAUCCCUCGGCUCAACCGGGGAACUGCGUCUGAUACUGGCGGGCUUGAAUUCGGGAGAGGGAUGUGGAAUUCCAGGUGUAGCGGUGAAAUGCGUAGAUAUCUGGAGGAACACCGGUGGCGAAGGCGGCAUCCUGGACCGACAUUGACGCUGAGGCGCGAAAGCCAGGGGAGCAAACGGG
rnacentral:rRNA from 1 species